rnacentral:rRNA from 1 species
GAUGAACGCUAGCGGCAGGCUUAACACAUGCAAGUCGAGGGGUAGAGGUUGCUUGCAACCUUGAGACCGGCGCACGGGUGCGUAACGCGUAUGCAACCUACCUUUUACAGAGGGAUAGCCCAGAGAAAUUUGGAUUAAUACCUCAUAGUAUAUAACCUUCGCAUGUUGGUUAUAUUAAAGUUCCAACGGUAAAAGAUGGGCAUGCGUCCUAUUAGCUAGAUGGUAAGGUAACGGCUUACCAUGGCAACGAUAGGUAGGGGUCCUGAGAGGGAGAUCCCCCACACUGGUACUGAGACACGGACCAGACUCCUACGGGAGGCAGCAGUGAGGAAUAUUGGACAAUGGGCGCAAGCCUGAUCCAGCCAUGCCGCGUGCAGGAAGAAGCAUCUAUGGUGUGUAAACUGCUUUUGUACAGGAAGAAACACCCCGACGUGUCGGGGCUUGACGGUACUGUAAGAAUAAGGAUCGGCUAACUCCGCGCCAGCAGCCGCGGUAA